UAGCAGAGGUCUCAAGCGUUUGUUCGGAUUCAUUGGGCGUAAAGGGUGCGUAGGCGGCGCGGUAAGUCGGGGUGUGAAAUUCUCGGAGCUUAACUCCGAAACUGCAUUCGAUACUGCCGUGCUUGAGGACUGGAGAGGAGACUGGAAUUUACGGUGUAGCGGUGAAAUGCGUAGAUAUCGUAAGGAAGACCAGUGGCGAAGGC
rnacentral:rRNA from 1 species